rnacentral:rRNA from 1 species
AUUGAACGCUGGCGGCAUGCUUUACACAUGCCAGUCGAACGGUAACAGGCCUUCGGGUGCUGACGAGUGGCGAACGGGUGAGUAAUGCAUCGGAACGUGCCCAGAGGUGGGGGAUAACGCAGCGAAAGCUGUGCUAAUACCGCAUGUGAUCUGAGGAUGAAAGCGGGGGACCAGGCAGCAAUGUUUGGCCUCGCGCCUUUGGAGCGGCCGAUGUCAGAUUAGGUAGUUGGUGGGGUAAGGGCCUACCAAGCCGACGAUCUGUAGCUGGUCUGAGAGGACGACCAGCCACACUGGGACUGAGACACGGCCCAGACUCCUACGGGAGGCAGCAGUGGGGAAUUUUGGACAAUGGGCGCAAGCCUGAUCCAGCAAUGCCGCGUGCGGGAAGAAGGCCUUCGGGUUGUAAACCGCUUUUGUACGGAACGAAAAGGCUCUGGCUAAUACCUGGGGCUGAUGACGGUACCGUAAGAAUAAGCACCGGCUAACUACGUG